AACGAACGCUGGCGGCAUGCCUAACACAUGCAAGUCGAACGAGACCUUCGGGUCUAGUGGCGCACGGGUGCGUAACGCGUGGGAACCUGCCCUUAGGUUCGGAAUAACUCCCCGAAAGGGGUGCUAAUACCGGAUAAUGUCUUCGGACCAAAGAUUUAUCGCCUUUGGAUGGGCCCGCGUUGGAUUAGCUAGUUGGUAGGGUAAAAGCCUACCAAGGCGACGAUCCAUAGCUGGUCUGAGAGGAUGAUCAGCCACACUGAGACUGAGACACGGCCCAGACUCCUACGGGAGGCAGCAGUGGGGAAUAUUGGACAAUGGGCAAAAGCCUGAUCCAGCAAUGCCGCGUGAGUGAUGAAGGCCUUAGGGUUGUAAAGCUCUUUUACCCGGGAUGAUAAUGACAGUACCGGGAGAAUAAGCUCCGGCUAACUCCGUG
rnacentral:rRNA from 1 species